UACGAAGGGUGCAAGCGUUACUCGGAAUCACUGGGCGUAAAGCGUGCGUAGGCGGUUCGUUAAGUCUGCUGUGAAAGCCCUGGGCUCAACCUGGGAACUGCAGUGGAUACUGGCGGACUAGAGUGUGAUAGAGGAUGGUGGAAUUCCCGGUGUAGCGGUGAAAUGCGUAGAGAUCGGGAGGAACACCAGUGGCGAAGGCGGCCAUCUGGAUCAACACUGACGCUAGGCACGAAAGCGUGGGGAGCAACAGG
rnacentral:rRNA from 1 species